UCCUCUCCCUCUCCCUCUCUUUGUGUCUUGUUUGCUCUGAGGAAAGCCAGUUGUCAUGCUAGUAGUUUGCCCAUGAAAAAGCCAAUAUGGCAAGGAACUGAGGGAAGCCUCCAGCCAACAGCCAAGAAGAACUGAGGCCUUCAGUUCGACAUCCGAGGAGGAACUGAAUCUUGAUAAAAACUACGGGUGAUUUUGGAGUGCGUCAUCCCCAAGUCAAGCCUUGAGGUUUGGCAAAAGUGGUCGCUGAGGAAUACGAACAGUCUGGGCUGAGGCCUGAGGACCACGGAGCUUAUCUAAAGGCAGCUGGAGCUCCACCCGCAGUUUGACAGACGACCUCGAACUCAGCAGGAAGCAAUUACAGAAGAGAACCUGCACCCACCAGCUCCUCUCAAGAAUGAGGAGCUGGACAAAAGGCAGAGACUCGUCCCCUGGCAAAGUCCAUUAAUAACCCUUGGGAAAUAAAAAGAGAAUCUGGGCAAUAAAACGAAGCCUAAACUU